rnacentral:rRNA from 1 species
AUACGGAGGGUGCAAGCGUUACUCGGAAUCACUGGGCGUAAAGCGCGCGCAGGCGGGCUGAUAAGUUGGAUGUGAAAGCCUACGGCUCAACCGUAGAACUGCAUCCAAAACUGUCAGUCUAGAGUGUGGGAGAGGAAGAUGGAAUUAGUUGUGUAGGGGUAAAAUCCGUAGAGAUAACUAGGAAUACCAAAAGCGAAGGCAAUCUUCUGGAACACUGCUGACGCUGAGGCGCGAAGGCGUGGGGAGCAAACAGGAUUAGAAACCCCUGUAGUCC